GUCUGUGUGGUUCAGUUGGUAGAACGUGGCUCUUACAACGCCAGGGUUGUGGGUUCGAUUCCCACAGGGGACC